UAGAAAAUGGCAAAAAGACAAAAAAAAAAAAAAAAAAAAAAAAAUUCUAGUUUGUGCUAAGUACUUAGUAGCUAGAAUUGAAUUAAUUAACAUAAGAGUUCUACCAAGUCAUUAUACCAGCUUUGCAUUUGCAGAACUAUUCAAAAAUGGGACUAAAUUAAAGUAUCAUCUGAGUAUUCAUGAUUGACAAUAUUAAAAAUUGAUUUGUUUCUUGUAUAAUUGGACUAAAAGGUGUGUGUGUGUGAGAGAGAGAGAGAGCGAGUGGGUGUGGUAUUUUGGUAAUGGCUUGUUAGUAGGAUAAGUUUCUUAUAUCAUGGGGCAUUCUCAUUUGGGUAUAUCUCAUCAAGAUACAUGUUUGUAAACUCUUUGAGGGAAGGGACUUGGUGUGUCUUGUUCAUAGACUCCUGGUAUAGUUCCUAACACAUAGAUGUGCUCAAAGAAUUUGAUGAAUGAAUGAAAUAACUUUUUAUGACACUCAAAUCAGGCAACCUCAAGUCCCAUAGUGUUUCACUUUUUGGAGGGUCCUGAAUAACAGUAAGAUUGUAGGAGAGUCCUUACUAACUUCAAGAAAUUCCACUGAGUCCUUUUACUUUUUUUUUGGUUUCACCUGUGGCGUGUGGAAAUUCCGGGGCCAGGGUCAAAUCUCUCCACAAGAGAACUCCAAGCCUAUUUGCUUUUGACAGAGCCUACAAUUUUUUUCUUCUCUGAUAGUCUUCACUUUAGGACAAAGAAACUGUUGUCAUUGCCUUGCUCAUGUUAAUAAAAAUUAAUCAGUGAGAUUCCUUCUGCCCAUCAUUUCACUUCUCAUUAGCAUGGAGCUCAGGUAGCACUAGAGAGGCAUUCUGGUGGAUUAGUCCAGCCAGCUCUUCAGGUCAUUAGUGCUACAUCUAAAGCUCUGGGGAGGGAGCAGCCUUUUGCUCACUCAAAAGUGUGUAGGGUUUUGACUCUCUGAUAUAGCUUCAGUGUUAAUGGAGAGAAGUUGGAUGACUCAAAUAAUGUGCCAGACCCUUCCAUGUGUUAUCUCAAAUACUGCUUCCCAACAACAUUAGAAGUUAAGUACUAUCAUCAUCCCUGUUUUACAGAAGCACAAAGAAGUUAAGUACUUGCCCAAGUUCACACCAAGAUUUGAACCCAGGUAGUCUUACUUCAGAGACUACGUUUUUAUCCGUGGCCAUUGCCAACCUCAUGCUCAUUCAUUUGUGCUGGGACACUCAUGCUUUAUCCAUAGUACUUCUCCACCAGCAGUUUUGUAAAGAUCAGAGGAAGUGAUGAGCUCAGAGAGCAGAGUCGGGCACAAGAAGGAGGAUACUAUUGGGUGCCCAUCAGUUGCUGUGCCUGUUAUGGCUUAGGUAAUUUGCCUUGCUACCAGUGUUUCUCUACCAUAAAAAUAUUAUGAGACAAACAGAUAUUUGCCUGCCUUGAUCACUCACCAUACCUAGAGAAGUGGCUGGCACCUGCUAACAAUUGAAUAAAUGCAACUCGUGGAAUAAAUGAUGGCCAUGUCAUAAGCAGCCCUAAGGAGAGGCCCAGGUGGCAAGAAACUGAGGCUUCCAGUCCUCUGUACAUGAAUGAGCAUGGAUGGAGAUUCUCCAGCCUAGUCAGCCUUCGGGUGACUGAAGUCCUGGCAGACCUCCUAGCUGUAGUCUCUUGAGAGCUCUUGAGCCAGAGGCACCCAACUAAGCCACUCCUGGAUUUCUGAUACACAGAAACGGACUGGUAUAUCAAGAAGAGAAAUGCUGCAGAAAUAUGUACUACAGUGACAUUUACCCAGAAGACAUAGGAAGCUUGAAAAUAAAAUCCAAAGCCACUCACAAUUGCCCUGGGAGAAUGAACAGUGAGAAGCACCAGCAAAAUCAAUCCAAGUGUACUGGGAAGUCACUGACCCUGCUGAAUGUAGUUUGGCUUAUUGGGUUGUGCCACUGCGAGUCUUUUGGAUUUCAGUAUAGAAGGUGAAGAUGCUUCAGUUUCUAAAGAUACCUUGAAGCUAUGACAAAACGGAAGCCCUGGACUGGAUGGCCCUGUCUUCUAAGUCUCUCUCUCUCAGCACCCUCUUCAAAUGUUGGGCCCCAUCUGCCUGUGUAGCUUUCAUUUGUGUCACUGGAUGUUAAAUUCUCCAAAGAUUGCUUGUCUCCAGACCACCCUCCCAACCCAGCAUCUGGUACCCAGUCCCUAGUUGCUCAGUGUUUGUUGAAUAAAUGAAUGUUGACCAUACCUUAAACUCUGGCUUUAAGGAGUGCGGACAUGAGAGAGAAUUUGCAAAUACCUUAAUUUCCAGGUCACAUGAUAUUAACAAAUACGAACUCAUUUCUGGAUUAAAAGAAAGCAUGUGUGUUAAUUAUUAGGCAAAGGUGACGUAAGCAUGUGUUCUCCUGCCUUCGCUCUUGACUUCUCAGUCAGCCUGGGCUAGAAAUAGAGAGGUGUGUGAGCAGUGAGCCUGUAGCUCUAAUAUCGGCUCAGUCUGUGGGUCUGCCGGUGUCUGAGAUGGUGCCAUGAUAGGUUGUAGCUGGCUGUUGGGGAUAACAAGAACCAUGUGGCAGCCGUGGCUGAUUCCUGGUGGGGUUUUGCCCCAUCUCCCAUAAACCCCACAGCAUGUGAUCUCCCCAAAAGAGCCCUGUACUGGGUUCUGUUCGGGGGAGGGAAGCUAGAUUCCUCCUCAACAGAUGUCACCAUAAUUAGAUAACUCAUUAUAUCAAGGAAUAAGGAAAGGAGAUUGACGUGGAUACAAAUGCGAACAUAUUGAUAGCUCUUCUGCAUGUGAGUUUGUGCAAUCUUGGAAAAUGAUUUCUUGGACAAGGCUCAAGGGAUGAGUCAGCGGUUGGAGCCUGGGGAGAUUUUCCACAAUGAAAUUCUAGUCCCAGUCAAGUACCCUAAGAGCUUGCCACCCUGUAAGACCAUUCCCAGGGGCAACCAGGGCUCCAAGCCAGUGUGGGUGUGUGCCUGUGAGUGUGGGAGAACCCCAGAAGGUAGUCACGCCUGGGGGUGAAGGAGGGAAAAGGAGAAACUCACUGGCUAAGGCAGGCUGUGUGGGCAGUAGCUGACACUGAUCCACAAAGUCCUUGGAACUCCUGGAUCGCCUUCCUGCAUCUGAGUUGGAGAGCCUCCCUGGGGAGGUCACCCCCUGGCUGGAAUUAAGUGUCCUUCACAAGUAUUCCCAUGUGACCCUGCUCUUUCUGUUGGAGCACCCAUCAUUCUGUAAUGUCCUUGCCUCUUCUCCCUGUGGCAAAAUGUGAGGAUUUGACUACUUGAUCCUUUCCAGCUCGAACAUUCUAAAGUUGGAAAUGUCUUUUUAAAAAUGGGGAAGAGGAAGGAAACUGUGAGUUGACACAGAGGAUAUGUCUUAUCCUUCUCUGGUCAUUUCUUAUCCAUCGUUUUCCAACAACCUCCUGAGGUUGACCUUCCAGUUUCCUGAAGGCAGUGAUCACUUCAAUCACU